AAUUCCAACAUCUAAUAUAUAAAUUGCUUAUUAGAGAAUUUAAUUCAGCGAUAUCUUAAGGUAUAUACAAGAACGCGAGACGAAAACGUGGAGAACGUAGUUCGAAAACGAUCGGCCGACAAUCCACGAUUACUAAAUUUCGCACUUCCCUAAUCGAUCGAACCGAUCACUUUUGCGUUCCGGUUCAAUCUGUGCGCGCGAAUGCGAAUCGUCGUUCUACGCUCAUCUAUCUUGAGGGGGGUGAUAAUAGUCUUUUCAUGAUAUGUGUAACAUAUAUUUAUACACAAUACCACGCACUAUUUUUGCGUGAUAAAUAUCUAGUAGGUACGAUUGUGUUAUUUGUACGAAUAAUCUCAUUCGAGGCACAGGAUGUCCUUCCGCAUCAUUCAUGAAUAAAUAGACUUCUUUCUAAUACACUGCAAUUAUAAUUAAAAAUUACUUUACCAUGCA